AUUCCAAAUAAUAAUUUCUUAAAAUAAAGUUUAAAUCAAAAUCAUUUGGAUUUAACGUUUGACCUAAGCCUAUUUCUUUUAUUUCACAAAACGCUAAAAUGAAGACUGUAAUUUUUUUCGGUGUAGAUACCCGUAUACACGUUCAUACGAACGUGUACGUUAGCUACAAGUGGACAAAGCCGACUAUAAGUGGCAGAAGAACGAAAACCCGAAAGGAGGACGAAAACAUCAACGCUCCAUGGCUACUUAAACGGCUUAGGUCUGAGAACUUAUGCAACUUGUUAACUAAUUACGUGCACAGCAGCAUAAAGUGGCUUAAAACACACGCACCUGAGGCCACUUAGGCAUCGAACACAGAGGGAAUUUUUCAUAAUGCCCUGGCAAUAGCUCCAAAUUAAGCUGAUAAGACCGAACUGAUAAUUUUAUGGAAAUACGUUAUAAUCUCUCAAGGAUUGUUCACAGCAUGGCCUUCACUCUGUCCUUACAAGAAACAAUUACGUUAUGUUAUGAAAUCCUUAAGUAAAUAUGAUACAUGUUACAAUUUCUCCUUAAAAAAAUCAUUAUUAUUAUCGAGAUGUAUGUGCCAGAAAUUAAUGGAUAGAUUGCCAGCUUUAUUCCAUGAAAUAUAACUGUGUGUUGUGAAUAUGAA